rnacentral:lncRNA from 1 species
AUUAAAAGCAAUUUUUAAAAAUAUUUCCAGCUUAAUUUCUGUGAAUAUCAGCUUUCUUCCCUGGGAAUCCUCACAGAUUACUUGUUUUAUUUUAUGUUUUGAGUCCUUGGUUCAGAGUUUAAAAACAGAAACAAACAACAACAAAACACAAAUAAAACCAAACUAACCAACCAAACAAACAAACCUUGAUGAGUCUAGGACAAAAUGACUGAGUUUAACCACUUGCCUUAGAUUUCCUUCAGCUGAUUUUGUUUCUCUUGGAGAUCUUCACUUUCCUUCAUUAAAAUCUUGGCACAGUGACUGCCUUGCUCUGGAAAAUGUACCUGGGAACUGACAGCAUUUCUUUUGCAGGUUUUUCAAAACACUUCUUGUGUGUGUGAACAGCUGCCAAACAUCUCACCAAGUGUUGCUGAGUAGCUUCUAACUUGGGUGAGCUCCCACAAAGGGUGAAGAGGACAAGGAGGUGUAAGCUGCAGAGCUGGGGCUGUGGAUUGGUUUCGGUGUCACAAGUGCUUCCAGGUAAUGCUGAGUCUCAGCAGCUUCAUGAGAGCUGGAUGUGAUGGGCUUGUGCUACUGCAAAGGGGUGUGCAAGUCUGGGGUUAUAACCUCAGAAAAAGAAGCCAGCAAUUACACCUGCCAGCAUUUUCCCCUGGCCACUGGUGCAAUUACCCAUCAAGGAUAAUUGACAGCAAGAUAAUAGGGAAAGGUGAACCCCAGGCAGGCAAUGACUGUCCAAAUACAUGUACCUUAGAGAGACUCAGUAUAGCUGCACUGCUGGGAUGAUGUCCUGUGCUGCGCUGCUGAGGCAGGAGGAAUUACGCAUCCAGCUGAUAGGGCUGAGCUCACCCACCAAUGGCAAAAAGGUACAGUGGCCACUUUCUCAAGAAAGUAGAUGAUAAAUAUUUAUGCCAUUCCUUAGCACUGGUUCCACUGUUCAGGAAAUUACAUUCGGAGCCGAUGUUCUUCAUAAUAAAGUCGAGACAAAUAUCUGGACCUCUAGUAUA